GAUGAACGUUGGCGGCGUGCCUAACACAUGCAAGUCGUACGAGAAAGUUGGCUUCGGCUGAUGAGUAAAGUGGCGCACGGGUGAGUAACGCGUGAAUAAUCUGCCUUUUAGUUGGGAAUAACGUACCGAAAGGUGCGCUAAUACCGGAUAAUACUGCAUAACUACUGUUGUGUAGUCAAAGAAGGCCUCUGUUUACAAGCUUUUGCUGAAAGAUGAGUCCGCGUACCAUUAGCUAGUUGGUAGGGUAAUGGCCUACCAAGGCUACGAUGGUUAGCUGGUCUGAGAGGAUGAUCAGCCACACUGGAACUGAGACACGGUCCAGACUCCUACGGGAGGCAGCAGUGAGGAAUAUUGCGCAAUGGGGGCAACCCUGACGCAGCAACGCCGCGUGAGUGAGGAAGGUUUUCGGACCGUAAAGCUCUGUCGAGCGGGAAGAAAUGUAUCGUGGCUAAUAUCCAUGAUAUUUGACGGUACCGCUAAAGGAAGCACCGG
rnacentral:rRNA from 1 species